UACGUAGGGUGCGAGCGUUGUCCGGAAUUAUUGGGCGCAAAGAGCUCGUAGGCGGUUUGUUGCGUCUAUCGUGAAAACCUGCAGCUUAACUGUGGGCUUGCGGUGGAUACGGGCAGACUUGAGUUCGGUAGGGGAGACUGGAAUUCCUGGUGUAGCGGUGAAAUGCGCAGAGUAUCAGGAGGAACACCGGUGGCGAAGGCGGGUCUCUGGGCCGAUACUGACGCUGAGGAGCGAAAGCGUGGGGAGCGAACAGG
rnacentral:rRNA from 1 species